rnacentral:misc_RNA from 1 species
CAACCAUCAAGCCCCCGGCUUGUGUUGGGGACCUGCGGCACACCCGCAGGCCCUGAAAACCAGUGGCGGGCUCGCUGUCCACACCGAGCGUAGUAGCAUCUUUGUCUCGCUCAGGGCGUGGGGCGGGUUCCGGCCGUGAAAGCCACCUUCUCAAGGUACCCAAA